rnacentral:lncRNA from 1 species
UGAUAACUAAGUUAUACGUGAUCCACUAGGUACGAAACUUUUACCAUAGUUCAAGCAUACAAUAAUGAGCUCACCAUAAAAAUUUCACCACAGUUGGAUCAUAGGAACUGCAUAUAUCAAUUAUUCGAUUUAAUUACAGAAAAACAUAGAUUUAAAGCUACAACAAAAACUUUAUACUAAAGUAUACCAUAUUAUAUAUUCACU